UACGUAGGGUGCAAGCGUUAAUCGGAAUUACUGGGCGUAAAGCGUGCGCAGGCGGUUUAUGUAAGACAGAUGUGAAAUGCCCGGCUUAACCUGGAACUGCAUUUGUGACUGCAUGGCUAGAGUUUGGCAGAGGGGGGUAGAAUUCCACGUGUAGCAGUGAAAUGCGUAGAUAUCUGGAGGAACACCGGUGGCGAAGGCGGCAUCCUGGACCGGCAUUGACGCUGAGGAGCGAAAAGCCAGGGGAGCAAACGGG
rnacentral:rRNA from 1 species